UACGUAGGUGACAAGCGUUAUCCGGAAUUACUGGGCGUAAAGCGCACGCAGGCGGCUGAGUAAGUCUGACGUGAAAUCUCCCGGCUUAACCGGGAGCGGUCGUUGGAAACUACUUGGCUUGAGGCGAUGAGAGGGGUGUGGAAUUCCCGGUGUAGUGGUGGAAUGCGUAGAUAUCGGGAGGAACAUCAGUGGCGAAAGCGGCACCCUGGCAUUGGCCUGACGCUCAGGUGCGAAAGCGUGGGGAGCGAACGGG
rnacentral:rRNA from 1 species